AAAUAUACAAGCAGUUCCUAUGGGGUCCAGCUUUUAUGGUGACUCCUGUCGUUGAACCUUUCAGGACCAGUGUGACUGGCUAUGUUCCUAAGGCUCGAUGGUUUGACUACCAUAGGGGAAGAUAUAAAGCUCAAAGGAAUACUUCACACAUUUUCAGCUCCCUUUGAUACAAUAAAUCUACACGUCCGAGGAGGUUACAUUCUACCAUGUCAAGAGCCAGCACGGAACACACAUCUAAGUCGACAGAAUUACAUGAAGCUCAUUGUUGCUGCAGAUGACAACCAAAUGGCACAAGGGACUCUAUUUUGGGAUGAUGGAGAGUCUAUAGACACUUAUGAAAGAGGUCAAUACACCUCGAUACAAUUCAAUUUAAAUCAGACAACUUUAACAAGCACUGUAUUGGCAAA
rnacentral:lncRNA from 1 species